rnacentral:rRNA from 1 species
AUUGAACGCUGGCGGCAGGCCUAACACAUGCAAGUCGAGCGAGCGGCGGACGGGUGAGUAAUGUAUGGGGACUGCCCGAUGGAGGGGGAUAACUACUGGAAACGGUAGCUAAUACCGCAUACUAUCGGAUAACCCAUAUGGGAUUAGCUAGUAGGUGGGGUAAUGGCUCACCUAGGCGACGAUCCCUAGCUGGUCUGAGAGGACGAUGAGCAACACUGGAACUGAGACACGGUCCAGCCUCCUACGGAGGCAGCAGGGGGGAAUAUUGCACGAGGGGCGAAAUCCUGAUGCAGCCAUGCCGCGUGUAUGAAGAAGGUCUUAGGGUUGUAAAGUACUUUAAGUCGGGAGGCGUUACCGACAGAAUAAGCACCGGCUAACUCCGUGCCAGCAGCCGCGGUAAUUC